GACGAACGCUGGCGGCGUGCUUAAUACAUGCAAGUCGAACGGAAAGGCCCUGCUUUUGUUGGGCGCUCGAUUGGCGAACGGGUGAGUAACACGUGAGUAACCUGCCCUUGACUUUGGGAGAACUUCACGAAACUGGGGCGAAUACCGGGUAGGAGCUCCUGCUGCAUGGUGGGGGUUGGAAAGUUUCGGCGGUUGGGUAUGGACUCGCGGCUUAUGAGCUUGUUGGUGGAGUAGUUGCUUACCAAGGCUUUGACGGGUAGCCGGCCUGAGAGGGUGACCGGCGACAAUAGGACUGCGGUACGCCGCAGAAUCCUACGGGAGGCAGUAGUGGAGAAUAUUGCACAGUAGGCGGAAGCCUGAUGCAAAGACGCCGCGUGCGGAAUGCCGGCCUUCGAGUUGAAAACAAAUUUCGCCUGAAACGUAGCGUGCGUGACGGUAAUGGAUAAAAAAGCACCGGCUAACUACGUG
rnacentral:rRNA from 1 species